GAUGAACGCUGGCGGCGUGCCUAAUACAUGCAAGUCGAGCGAACAGACGAGGAGCUUGCUCCUCUGACGUUAGCGGCGGACGGGUGCGUAACACGUGGAUAACCUACCUAUCAGACUGGGAUAACUACGGGAAACCGGAGCUAAUACCGGAUAAUAUAUUGAACCGCAUGGUUCAAUAGUGAAAGACGGUUUUGCUGUCACUUAAAGAUGGACCCGCGCCGCAUUAGCUAGUUGGUAAGGUAACGGCUUACCAAGGCGACGAUGCGUAGCCGCCCUGAGAGGGUGGUCGGCCACACUGGAACUGAGACACGGUCCCGACUCCUACGGGAGGCAGCAGUAGGGAAUCUUCCGCGAUGGGGGAAAGCCUGACGGUGCAACGCCGCGUGAGUGCUGAUGGUCUUCUGACCGUAAAGCGCUGUUAUUAGGGAAGAUCAAAUGUGUAAGUACCCAUGCACGUCUUGACGGUACCUAAUCAGAAAGCCACGGCUAACUCCGUG
rnacentral:rRNA from 1 species